CGUCGCAGCAAGUCGGUGCAGCCAACUCAGUCUACUUGCGAUUACUGCGGCCGUGGUCAACACUCUCGAAAAGAAUGCCCAGCUCGCAAGGCCACUUGCAAUUUCUGCAAGAAGCAAGGUCAUUUUAUUGCUGUUUGCCGGGCCAAGCAUCGGAAGGAGCUGUUACGCUCAGAGGAACUUCACG
rnacentral:lncRNA from 1 species